rnacentral:rRNA from 1 species
CUGAGUACGGCGGAACACGUGAAAUUCCGUCGGAAUCCGGGAGGACCAUCUCCCAAGGCUAAAUACUCCCUAGUGACCGAUAGUGAACCAGUACCGUGAGGGAAAGGUGAAAAGCACCCCGGAAGGGGAGUGAAACAGUUCCUGAAACCGUGUGCCUACAAGUAGUUAGAGCCCGUUAAUGGGUGAUAGCGUGCCUUUUGUAGAAUGAACCGGCGAGUUACGAUUUGUUGCAAGGUUAAGCGGAAAAAGCGGAGCCGUAGCGAAAGCGAGUCUGAAUAGGGCGCAUAAGUAACAGGUCGUAGACCCGAAACCAGGUGAUCUACCCAUGUCCAGGAUGAAGGUAAGGUAAUACUUACUGGAGGUCCGAACCCACGCACGUUGAAAAGUGCGGGGAUGAGGUGUGGGUAGCGGAGAAAUUCCAAUCGAACUUGGAGAUAGCUGGUUCUCUCCGAAAUAGCUUUAGGGCUAGCCUCGAGGUAAAGAGUCAUGGAGGUAGAGCACUGUUUGGACUAGGGGCCCUUCUCGGGUUACCGAA